CCACCAGAAAUUUGAAACUGAAUAUUCAGUUAUAUAAGAAAAUGAAUUUGCUGCUACGUUUCUGGUGCAUUUCUACAACAACGACUGUAGUCUGUACGUCUUCAAAUGCUUUAAGAAUCGCAUUUCAAAUGCUUAUCCGCAUGCAGUGGCACUGCGUCGAAAUGUGAAUUAUUUAACCAAGAAAAACAUCCACAAAAAUCGGUAUAAAACCUUACUAUAACAGUUUUGACAGUUCUUUCAAAUUAGACUGUGUAACCUAAUAACCUGUCUAAUUCUAUACAGUCACGUCUUAAUCUUUAAUUUGGCAUUUACAAAACUACAUCACAACUCAUAACGAUUCAAGUUGCCGUUACUUUUAAUUUAAAGAGCAUGCAAUUGACUAUUAUUUUAUUAAACGAAAAAACCUUAAAACUGUUAGUAAAUGCCUUCUUUCAAAGCUAUUAUGUUUCCAUGCAACGUUUAUGAGACAUUACGUUUUGUUUCAAAAACAUUAUAAUUUGUUUCAAAAACAUUAUAAUCAUAUGAGACAAAUAACAAAGUCAAAGAUAUGCAACACUCAACAAUACACCACAUUCUUACACAGUAUUUUUAACUGUGUAAUGGUUAACUGCAAUGCUUUAAACAAAAAUAGUCAAAAAAACUUGAAUGUUUUUAAGAGCUUUUUCGUUUAAAAAGAUAAAAGUUUCGCUUCAUAGAUAGAGAUUUCUUAAUGGGAAGUGCUGACGUAUGGUAUUUUCGCACGCGUUAAUUUGUUUUCACAAAACGAACGAGCGAGUGCAACGAGCGAGUGAGUUCUGCGAAAACAAAUUAACAAGUGCGAAAAUACAAUACAAAAGCACUUCCCAUUACUAAAUUUGUUUAUUUUAUAGAUACUGAUAUUUUAUAUUAAAUGGAUUGCCUUUAUUUAACGUAAUUUGGUUCAUUCAAAAGCCAAAGGCCAUGCAAAGUCAAGAUAAAGCACUGCAAAGUGCAAACAAAACUUCAUUUUGGCAUUGUAUAUUUUCUUUAAAUCACUUGUAAAGGACUGUCUUUACUCUCAAACUAAAUUUGACAUUAAUAUAUAGUCAACAAG